rnacentral:tRNA from 2 species
GGGGCGCACUAGAAGCGCAAGAGACUUUUAAUCCGUUGGUCGCGUGUUCGAGUCACGCACGACCCACCA